rnacentral:rRNA from 1 species
AACGAACGCUGGCGGCAGGCCUAACACAUGCAAGUCGAGCGAAGCCUUCGGGCUUAGCGGCGGACGGGUGAGUAACGCGUGGGAACGUGCCCUUUGGUACGGAAUAGCCCCGGGAAACUGGGAGUAAUACCGUAUGUGGUCGAGAGACGAAAGAUUUAUCGCCAAAGGAUCGGCCCGCGUUGGAUUAGGUAGUUGGUGGGGUAAUGGCCUACCAAGCCGACGAUCCAUAGCUGGUUGGAGAGGAUGAUCAGCCACACUGGGACUGAGACACGGCCCAGACUCCUACGGGAGGCAGCAGUGGGGAAUCUUAGACAAUGGGGGAAACCCUGAUCUAGCCAUGCCGCGUGAUCGAUGAAGGCCUUAGGGUUGUAAAGAUCUUUCGGUGGGGAAGAUAAUGACUGUACCCACAGAAGAAGCCCCGGCUAAUUCCGUGCCAGCCGCCGCGGUAAAAC